GACAGAUGUAUAAACAAGAAGAUGUGGCUGGGUCUGAGGGGCUGAGCAAAUCGGGUUAGGAUACUUUUGGUCUUAGCCCCACCUGUCUCUGUCCUUGCCCCCUUCCAGUGCUAAUUUGACUUGGAGAUAAGGGAAUGAUGGUCAGAGAGGACCAAAGACAUGACACCUGGGAGGUGGCCUCAGGAGGCCAAAACACUAAGCUAGUUGAAGAUGAGUUAGGCUGUGCAGUGGUGAGACCAACUCUAUGACCCUUAGUAGAAAUAUAGCAUAUACACAUACAUGCUUUCACACACACACACACACACACACACACACACACAGAGGCUGACAAACCAAGGGGCAGAGACAUGGAGAAAUGAGGACCAACCUAUAGCUUCAAGUACAUUGGGAGAUUCAUACAGAUUGACGGAACUAUAUAGAGACCAAGGACAGCCCAGCACACAGACAAUGCAAGAUUCGUACUGAGACUGGCCACCGUACAAAGAAACCAGACACAGAAACCUUCUCACAGGCAGACAAACAAGGUCAGACACACAUCAACACAAGGAUAGAAACGUGCAUGGAGAAUCAUACACCAGUAGCCUCCCAGACAUGAGGACAGGAACUCACAUGAUUCACACUGAGGACAACACUCAGGAGCAUCCUUACGUGAUCACUGAUUGUGAAGAGUGGAGAACAAAGGAGAGGGAGCAGAAAGACAAAAAGAAACAAGAAGAGAACAAGACUGCCAGGCAGAGCCAUGAGCCAGCAGAACACGGAAGAGGGAAAGAGGCAAAGAUGCCUCAGCUUUUCCCUCUGGCUAAGAAAUGGGGAGGGAGGGCUAUGGGGAGAAAGCUGGAGCAAAGCUGCCCAGUCUGGAAUCUCUUUCUUCAUUCUCUAAUGCUCUGCCUUGAACCAGUUCCUGUGAUGGUGCUGGGCUAUAAAAAUAAAUUUACCCACCUUCUGUGAUGGCUUGAAUAUGCUCGGCCCAGGAAGUGGCACUAUUAGAAGAUAUGGCCUUGUUGGAGUAGGUGUAUCACUGUACAAGUGGGCUUUAAGACUCUCAUCUGCCUAGAAGUCAGUCUUCUACUAGCAGCCUUCAGAUGAAGAUGUAGAACUCUCAGCUCCUCCUGCACCAUGCCUACCUGGAUGCUGCCAUGCUUCUGCCUUGAAGAUAAUGGACUGAACCUCUG
rnacentral:lncRNA from 1 species